GACGUAGGGGCAAGUGUUCUUCGGAAUGACUGGGCGUAAAGGGCACGUAGGCGGUGAAUCGGGUUGAAAGUGAAAGUCGCCAAAAAGUGGCGGAAUGCUCUCGAAACCAAUUCACUUGAGUGAGACAGAGGAGAGUGGAAUUUCGUGUGUAGGGGUGAAAUCCGUAAAUAUACGAAGGAACGCCAAAAGCGAAGGCAGCUCUCUGGGUCCCUACCGACGCUGGGGUACGAAAGCAUGGGGAGCGAACAGG
rnacentral:rRNA from 1 species